GCUGGGUGCGGUGGGCGUGCCUGUAGUCCCAGCUACUCGGGAGGCUGAGGUGGGAGGAUCGCUUGAGCCCAGGAGUUCUGGGCUGUAGUGCCCUAUGCUGAUUGGGUGUCCGCACUAAGUUCGGCAUCAAUAUGGUGACCUCCCGAGAGUAGGGGACCACCAGGUUGCCUAAGGAGGCAUGAACCGGCCCAGGUCGGAAAUGCAGCAGGUCAAAACUCCCGUGCUGAUCAGUAGUGGGAUUGCACCUGUAAAUAGCCACUGCACUCCAGCCUGGGCAACAUAUCGAGACCCCGUCUCU
rnacentral:SRP_RNA from 1 species